rnacentral:rRNA from 1 species
GACGGAAGGUGCAAGCGUUGCUCGGAAUCACUGGGCGUAAAGGGUGCGUAGGCGGCCGUGCAAGUCUGGCGUGAAAGCCCCGGGCUCAGCCCGGGAAGUGCGCUCGAAACUGCGCGGCUCGAGUGCCGGAGGGGAGAGUGGAAUUCCUGGUGUAGCGGUGAAAUGCGUAGAUAUCAAGAGGAACACCUGAGGUGAAGACGGGUUGCUGGGCUGACACUGACGCUGAGGCGCGAAAGUGUGGGGAGCGAACAGG